CAAAAACUUUGGAGGUGUCGUUGGUGAAUGAUUUAGGCUAUAUGAAGAGAUACGUACGCUGCUUGCAGAUUUCUGAAGUGGUUAAUAGUAUGAAAGACUUGAUUGAUUAUAGUUGAGAAAUAGGGACAGGACCUAUGGAGAGUUUGAACAAGUUCCCUUGAAGGACUAGUACGCCAU